ACUAAGUAGCAGUAGCGUUUGAUUUUGUACAGCGCUACCGGUAACAUUCUAUGUAUAAGGUUUUCCCUAGUAGUGCUUGCUUGAACUGAAUCAGCCAUUAGCUUCUUAUUAUGUACAUAUCUGAAAAAACUAUAGGUCUACCUCUCUGUAUAAAUACACAAGCAUUCUAACCUAUAAGGUGGCUGGGCGACCCGCCCACCCAAGCGCUCCUUCGAUUUUGCUUAGUUUUGACCCUUCGAUCGGGCCUGGUCGCGUCAACGCUGGUGUGCCAGCCGUUUGAUUUUAAGAUAUUUUUUGACCCAUGAUUGUUUCAAGCAAUAGUGUUGUCAAUAUAUUAAUUAUUAGAUUAUGUUACUAUUGUAUAUUAGAAGAACUUCCUGAUAUAUGUAUUUAUAGGAUUCUCUGAUAUUUGAUGCAAAAUAUUGAUGGCCAGGUGAAUACAGUGGACUCUUCAAGAUUGAGGGCCAACUGCAUAUGCCGAGGGUAUCCAUCGACAACCUGCCCAAUGUCCAUAUUCACCGAGGAGUACAACCAGAGACACUGUUGGCUGCGUGCAGGCGCCAAGCCCUCCGACGCCCAGCCGUCUGCUAUGGUCUCUGCCUGAAGAAGGAUUAUGGUUCUCCACCUCUCUGCUACUCAUAUUAAAAUUCUGCAGGAUUAUGUAACCAGUUCAAGAAUUGAUGAGUUUUCGAGCCCGAUGAUCUCUGUACACUAAGGUAAAAACACUAGCAUGUUGGUGCAUGCAUCGGUUGUGGCAAAGAUCUGUGAAUGACAAUGCAUUGCUGACCAUAGAGCAAUGCAAGGCUUCAGGAUAUGGACGACAACUUAGGCUGCGUGGGAAUCCCUCCGCUCCGUAACUCCCUUGCAGAGCAGAACUUCAUACAGUAUAAAUUUGAGGAGCGGCCAAUAGGUUGCUCCGCACGCUCCGCUCCCUGGUGAAGGAGAUGGAGCAGAGGAUUGCCGAAGACAACCUUAAAGACUUGACGCAUUGCCACUUGCUUCUAUGACCAUGGAAGUGAUCAAUGCUUUAGUGUUGAACUAUUGAUUAAUCCCUCUUAUUUCUUUAAUCUAUGUGACGGUGCUCCUUACCAUAAAUACUUGUUAUGUGGAUUCAAUAUAAAUGAUGUUUUAGGCA